rnacentral:misc_RNA from 1 species
AGCAAGUCAAGGCCUUUUGAGUACUUGAGGCUUACCAGCUUAGGUGUCAUUGGUGCCCUCGUGAAGGUUGAUGACACAGAAGUUAUUAGUUUCCUUCUCUCAACUGAAAUAAUUCCUUUGUGUCUGCGUACCAUGGAGAUGGGCAGCGAAUUAUCAAAAACAGUUGCUACGUUUAUAGUUCAGAAGAUUUUGUUGGAUGAUGUGGGCUUGGAUUAUAUUUGCACUACAGCAGAACGAUUUUUUGCAGUUGGUCGAGUUUUGGGGAACAUGGUUGCAGCACUUGCUGAACAACCCUCAUCUCGGUUGUUAAAACACAUUAUUCGAUGUUACCUUCGACUGUCAGAUAAUCCAAGGGCAUGUGAUGCAUUAAGAAGUUGCCUGCCGGACAUGCUUAGAGAUGCUACCUUCAGUAGUUGCCUUCGUGAAGAUCCAACAACCAGACGGUGGCUGCAGCAGUUGCUUCACAACGUUGGAGUGAAUCGGGUUCCAGGGCUGCAGCCUGGUGGAGGCUUUGACCAUAUGCUGGUGAACUAAAUUAAAUUUCGCAACCUUCUUCUGAUGCUUUGUUUUUUGCAAUCUGAUUUCAAAAGCAGAUGGCUCAUCAUCUUUUAAUUUUUUUAAGUGAAUUAGCAUCAUUAGAUUAAUGUAAUUAACGGUUUGUGUUAAAAGAGAGGCAUGAAAAAAAGGAAAAAUGAGAAAAGGCAAAGUCCGAAUUGUGGCUUGUCUCUAUGCCAAUUGCUGUCUGUAAUGGAAAGAAUGCUGUUGUUCAUGCUUAUUCAGCGGUGCCUCCCCA